rnacentral:rRNA from 1 species
UACGUAGGGGGCAAGCGUUGUCCGGAAUUAUUGGGCGUAAAGCGCGCGCAGGCGGUUUUUUAAGUCCGAUGUAUAAGCCCGGGGCUCAACCCCGGGAGGCAUGGGAAACUGGGAGGCUUGAGUACAGAAGAGGAGAGUGGAAUUCCACGUGUAGCGGUGAAAUGCGUAGAGAUGUGGAGGAACACCAGUGGCGAAGGCGACUCUCUGGUCUGUAACUGACGCUGAGGCGCGAAAGCGUGGGGAGCAAACA